AACCAACAGGGAUUGCCUCAGUAGCGGCGAGUGAAGCGGCAAAAGCUCAAAUUUGAAAUCUGGCGUCUUUGGCGUCCGAGUUGUAAUUUGAAGAAGGUAUCUUUGGGCCCGGCUCUUGUCUAUGUUCCUUGGAACAGGACGUCACAGAGGGUGAGAAUCCCGUGCGAUGAGAUGACCCGGGUCUGUGUAAAGUUCCUUCGACGAGUCGAGUUGUUUGGGAAUGCAGCUCUAAGUGGGUGGUAAAUUCCAUCUAAAGCUAAAUAUUGGCGAGAGACCGAUAGCGAACAAGUACAGUGAUGGAAAGAUGAAAAGAACUUUGAAAAGAGAGUGAAAAAGUACGUGAAAUUGUUGAAAGGGAAGGGCUUGAGAUCAGACUUGGUAUUUUGCAUGUUGCUCUCUCGGGGGCGGCCGCUGCGGUUUACCGGGCCAGCAUCGGUUUGGAGCGGCAGGAUAAUGGCGGAGGAAUGUGGCACGGCUUCUGCUGUGUGUUAUAGCCUCUGACGAUACUGCCAGCCUAGACCGAGGACUGCGGUUUUUAACC
rnacentral:rRNA from 1 species